rnacentral:tRNA from 1 species
GCCCGGAUGGUGGAACGGCAGACACCGGGGAUUUAAAAUCCUCUGCCUCGGAAGGGGCGUCCGGGUUCGAGUCCCGGUCCGGGCA